AUUGAACGCUGGCGGCAGGCCUAACACAUGCAAGUCGAGCGGGGUUUUCGGACCUAGCGGCGGACGGGUGAGUAAUGCGUAGGAAGCUACCCGAUAGAGGGGGAUACCAGUUGGAAACGACUGUUAAUACCGCAUAAUGUCUACGGACCAAAGUGUGGGACCUUCGGGCCACAUGCUAUCGGAUGCGCCUACGUGGGAUUAGCUAGUUGGUGAGGUAAUGGCUCACCAAGGCGACGAUCUCUAGCUGGUUUGAGAGGAUGAUCAGCCACACUGGAACUGAGACACGGUCCAGACUCCUACGGGAGGCAGCAGUGGGGAAUAUUGGACAAUGGGCGCAAGCCUGAUCCAGCCAUGCCGCGUGAGUGAUGAAGGCCCUAGGGUUGUAAAGCUCUUUCACCGGUGAAGAUAAUGACGGUAACCGGAGAAGAAGACCCCGGCUAACUUCGUGCCAGCAGCCGCGGUAAUGUGACUACU
rnacentral:rRNA from 1 species